rnacentral:rRNA from 1 species
UACGGAGGGGACUAGCGUUGUUCGGAAUUACUGGGCGUAAAGCGCACGCAGGCGGAUUUGUAAGUCAGGGGUGAAAUCCCGAGGCUCAACCUCGGAACUGCCUUUGAUACUGCAAAUCUCGAGUCCGGAAGAGGUGAGUGGAAUUCCUAGUGUAGAGGUGAAAUUCGUAGAUAUUAGGAAGAACACCAGUGGCGAAGGCGGCUCACUGGUCCGGUACUGACGCUGAGGUGCGAAAGCGUGGGGAGCAAACAGG